AGCGUAGGCGGAACUACAAGACAGGGGUCAAAUCUCCGGGCUCAACCUGGAACUUGCCUUUGUGACCGUGGUUCUUGAGUAUGGUAGAGGUUGGCGGAAUUUCCGGUGUAGCGGUGGAAUGCGUAGAGAUCGGAAAGAACACCAGAGGCGAAGGCGGCCAACUGGACCAAUACUGACGCUGAGGCUCGAAAGCGUGGGGAGCAAACAGGAUUAGAUACCCUGGUAGUCCACGCUGUAAACGAUGAACACUAGAUGUCGGGAGGGGUUCCUUCCGGUGUCGUCGCUAACGCAGUAAGUGUUCCGCCUGGGGAGUACGCUCGCAAGGGUGAA
rnacentral:rRNA from 1 species